GGGGGCCCGCACAAGCGGCGGAGCAUGCGGAUUAAUUCGAUGCAACGCGAAGAACCUUACCAAGGCUUGACAUGAACCGGAAAUACCUGGAAACAGGUGCCCCGCUUGCGGUCGGUUUACAGGUGGUGCAUGGUUGUCGUCAGCUCGUGUCGAGAGAUGUUGGGUUAAGUCCCGCAACGAGCGCAACCCUCGUUCUAUGUUGCCAGCGCGUUGUGGCGGGGACUCAUAGGAGACUGCCGGGGUCAACUCGGAGGAAGGUGGGGACGACGUCAAAUCAUCAUGCCCCUUAUGUCUUGGGCUUCACGCAUGCUACAAUGGCCGGUACAAAGGGUUGCGAUACUGUGAGGUGGAGCUAAUCCCAAAAAGCCGGUCUCAGUUCGGAUUGGGGUCUGCAACUCGACCCCAUGAAGUCGGAGUCGCUAGUAAUCGCAGAUCAGCAACGCUGCGGUGAAUACGUUCCCGGGCCUUGUACACACCGCCCGUCAAGUCACGAAAGUUGGUAACGCCCGAAGCCGGUGGCCUAACCCCUUGUGGGAGGGAGCUGUCGAAGGUGGGACUGGCGAUUGGGACUAAGUCGUAACAAGGUAACCGUAAGGGC
rnacentral:rRNA from 1 species